CUGGGUGACCGAGUCAGGGCCAUAUGCUUGUCUCUGAAACUAACCCAGGCAUGUUAAAGAAUAAACAAAUCUAUACUGUGAAACUGCAGAGGGCUCAUUAAAUCAGUUACAAUCAUCUUGAUCGAAUACUCCCUACUCGGGUAACCCUAGUAUUUCUAGAGCUAACACGUGCAAAAAACCUCACCUCUCCUUCGCGGAUGGAAAAGGUGUAUUUAUUAGGUUUUAAAAAUCAAUGCGAGGCAUUCCAAACUGUGCCUGACCUUCCGCUUUGGUACGGGCUUCGGUACUUGACGAUUCAUAAUAACUAAACCAAUCUCAGGCGAACGUCUGCGAUGAUACCAUCGAUUUUCUGACCUAUCAACUUUAGAUGGUCGAGUAGAGGUUUGCCAUGGUGACAACGGGUGACGGAGAAUUAGGGUUCGAUUCCGGAGAGGGAUCCUGAAACCCGACUACCACUUCCAAGGAAGGUAGCUGGCGCGCAAAUUACCCAUUACUGAUUCUGUGAGGAAUGGACAAGAUAUACCUCUAUUGGACCCAACGGGUUCUAUGUUUGGAAUGAGUACAACUUAAAAACCUAAACUGCGAACAAUUGGAAGGCAAGUCU
rnacentral:rRNA from 1 species